rnacentral:rRNA from 1 species
AUACGGAGGGUGCGAGCGUUAAUCGGAAUUACUGGGCGUAAAGCGUACGUAGGCGGUUUGUUAAGUUAGAUGUGAAAGCCCUGGGCUUAACCUGGGAACUGCAUUUAAAACUGGCAGACUAGAGUUUGAUAGAGGAGAGUGGAAUUUCAGGUGUAGCGGUGAAAUGCGUAGAGAUCUGAAGGAACAUCAGUGGCGAAGGCGACUCUCUGGAUUAAAACUGACGCUGAGGUACGAAAGCGUGGGUAGCAAACAGGAUUAGAAACCCCAGUAGUCC